GAUGAACGCUGGCGGCGUGCUUAACACAUGCAAGUCGAACGGAAAGGCUCCUGCCUGCUGGGGUACUCGAGUGGCGAACGGGUGAGUAACACGUGGGUGAUCUGCCCUGUACUUUGGGAUAAGCUUGGGAAACUGGGUCUAAUACCGGACAUGACAAUCUCUUGGAUGGGGUUGUGGAAAGCUUUUGCGGUAUGGGAUGAGCUCGCGGCCUAUCAGCUUGUGGGUGGGGUAAUGGCCUACCAAGGCGUCGACGGGUAGCCGGCCUGAGAGGGUGUACGGCCACAUUGGGACUGAGAUACGGCCCAGACUCCUACGGGAGGCAGCAGUGGGGAAUAUUGCACAAUGGGCGCAAGCCUGAUGCAGCGACGCCGCGUGGGGGAUGACGGCCUUCGGGUUGUAAACUCCUUUCGCAACCGACGAAGCUUUUGUGACGGUAGGUUGAGAAGAAGCACCGGCUAACUACGUG
rnacentral:rRNA from 1 species